rnacentral:rRNA from 1 species
CACUCCUGCGGGAGGCAGCAGUGGGGAAUAUUGCACAAUGGGCGCAAGCCUGAUGCAGCCAUGCCGCGUGUAUGAAGAAGGCCUUCGGGUUGUAAAGUACUUUCAGCGGGGAGGAAGGCGAUAAGGUUAAUAACCUUGUCGAUUGACGUUACCCGCAGAAGAAGCACCGGCUAACUCCGUGCCAGCAGCCGCGGUAAUACGGAGGGUGCAAGCGUUAAUCGGAAUUACUGGGCGUAAAGCGCACGCAGGCGGUCUGUCAAGUCGGAUGUGAAAUCCCCGGGCUCAACCUGGGAACUGCAUUCGAAACUGGCAGGCUAGAGUCGUGUAGAGGGGGGUAGAAUUCCAGGUGUAGCGGUGAAAUGCGGAGAGAUCUGGAGGAAUACCGGUGGCGAAGGCGGCCCCCUGGACAAAGACUGACGCUCAGGUGCGAAAGCGUGGGGAGCAAACAGGAUUAGAUACCCGGGUAGUCCCAU